GACAAUACUUCUAUAGAUGUGGUUACAAGAUUACUUAAGAUUUUUUAAUCAUUUUAUAUAUAAUUGUGAUAUUUUUUAUUUAAAGAAAGAAAUUAGUAGUAUUUUAAAAAUAACAUCUAUGGCAUCUUAUAUUAAAAGAAUAAUAAUAAGGUGUAAUCAUAUUCAAUAGUAGUAGAUACUUUAUGAAAAUAGGGAAAAAAAAGAGGCUUUAAAAUGAGAUUAGUAAGAAAUCAUGUAAUCAAAACCUUGAGACGUACAUUUAAAGAAUUUUUUUUAUAAGUACAUGUACAACAAAGAAAACAACUUCUUUCAUAAAAGAAUUUUUACCCUCAACUAAAAUUUACUAUAAAAUAACAACCUUAAGCUUGUGAUGAUUAGAAAGUUGUAGUUUUUGGAAACAUGAAAAAAAUAAGUAGGUUUUACUCAAGUAAAAGGUUGUGAUAUUGGAUCACUAAUAG
rnacentral:lncRNA from 1 species